AAACAGAGCUGAAGUUAAACAGCAAAGCAUUCUUAACUUCUUAGAUGAAGAUGAGAAAGCUGUAUGUUUCACCUCAUUUUACCAGUCAUACAUAUAUAUCUUGUUGGAUUAAAUGAUAUGAUUCAGUCUGGUAUUGACCAAAAUAUUAAUUUUAUAUGGAUUUGUUACUAUUGCUUGUUAUCUUAUUACCUUUGAAUUUUUUAUAAUGUGACAUGUGAGUGCAAGUUAAGAAAUCAUAUCAAGAUUACCAGAAAAAAGUAUUAGCUGUUAUGGUUCUGUGUUGUUAAAUAAUUUUUUGUUGGCAGUAAUUUUUACAGGAGUAAAUAACUUCUAUAAUGUGAGAAAUCUGGGUAUGCUCAUUCCAAUAUUCAG
rnacentral:misc_RNA from 1 species